rnacentral:rRNA from 1 species
CCUACGGGAGGCAGCAGUGAGGAAUAUUGGUCAAUGGCCGUAAGGCUGAACCAGCCAAGUAGCGUGAGGGAAGACUGCCCUAUGGGUUGUAAACCUCUUUUAUGCGGGGACAAAGGUGUCCACGCGUGGAUGUUUGCAGGUACCGCAUGAAUAAGGACCGGCUAAUUCCGUGCCAGCAGCCGCGGUAAUACGGAAGGUUCGGGCGUUAUCCGGAUUUAUUGGGUUUAAAGGGAGCGUAGGCCGGUCUUUAAGCGGGCCGUGAAAUUGUGUGGCUCAACCAGGAGAGUGCGGCGCGAACUGGAGACCUUGAGUGAGAGGGAGGCAGGCGGAAUGCGUGGUGGAGCGGUGAAAUGCUUAGAUAUCACGAAGAACCCCGAUUGCGAAGGCAGCCUGCCGCAGCGUUACUGACGCUGAGGCACGAAAGCGCGGGUAUCGAACAGGAUUAGAUACCCUUGUAGUC